GACGAACGCUGGCGGCGUGCUUAACACAUGCAAGUCGAACGGAAAGGCCCUGCUUUUGUGGGGUGCUCGAGUGGCGAACGGGUGAGUAACACGUGAGUAACCUGCCCUUGACUUUGGGAUAACUUCAGGAAACUGGGGCUAAUACCGGAUAGGAGCUCCUGCUGCAUGGUGGGGGUUGGAAAGUUUCGGCGGUUGGGGAUGGACUCGCGGCUUAUCAGCUUGUUGGUGGGGUAGUGGCUUACCAAGGCUUUGACGGGUAGCCGGCCUGAGAGGGUGACCGGCAACAUUGGGACUGAGAUACGGCCCAGACUCCUACGGGAGGCAGCAGUGGGGAAUAUUGCACAAUGGGCGGAAGCCUGAUGCAGCAACGCCGCGUGCGGGAUGACGGCCUUCGGGUUGUAAACCGCUUUCGCCUGUGACGAAGCGUGAGUGGCGGUAAUGGGUAAAGAAGCACCGGCUAACUACGUG
rnacentral:rRNA from 1 species